AACAAAUAUAAGACUGCAUGGUGACACUCAAAGUGCAAAGGAACCACAGCAUCUCCAACAAGACAGUCUAAUUUAGUGGUACUUCAUCAAAUAGAACAUGUCAGUGUUAGCUAUUCUAACAAUAUGUCUCCUUCUGGAGAUUGUGCCACAAACAACCUGCGAAAAGCAAGU